AAGACUAUAGACCUGCGGAGUACCUGCGGAGGGAUCAUUACUGAGUGAGGGCCCUCUGGGUCCAACCUCCCACCCGUGUUUAUUGUACCUUGUUGCUUCGGUGGGCCCGCCGCAAGGCCGCCGGGGGCUUCCGCCCCGGGCCCGCGCCCACCGGAGACAAACUGAACUCUGUCUGAAUGUUGCAGUCUGAGUAAAAACUUAAUAAGUUAAAACUUUCAGCAAUGGAUCUCUAGAUCGGAA
rnacentral:misc_RNA from 1 species